GUCGGAAUCGCUAGUAAUCGCGAAUCAGAACGUCGCGGUGAAUACGUUCCCGGGCUUUGUACACACCGCCCGUCAAGUCAUGGAAGUGGGUUGCACCAGAAGUGGCUAGUCUAACCUUCGGGAGGACGGUCACCACGGUGUGGUUCAUGACUGGGACUAAGUCGUAACAAGGUAGCCGUAGGGGAACCUGUGGCUGGAUCACCUCCUUA
rnacentral:rRNA from 1 species